AUUGAACGCUGGCGGCAGGCCUAACACAUGCAAGUCGAACGGAGCGGCGGAAGGGUGAGUGCGGACUAGGAAUCUGCAUGGGAGUGGGGGAUAACGUCGGGAAGCGGAAGCUAAUACCGCAGACUAUCAGAGGAGCCUCGGUCGGAUUAGCUGGUUGGUGGGGUAGAGGCCUACCAAGGCGACGAUCCGUAACUGGGCUGAGAGGAUGAUCAGUCACACUGGAACUGAGACACGGUCCAGACUCCUACGGGAGGCAGCAGUGGGGAAUAUUGGACAAUGGGCGAAAGCCUGAUCCAGCCAUGCCGCGUGGGUGAAGAAGGUCUUCGGAUUGUAAAGCACUUUUAGUUGGGAGGCGUUAUCAACAGAAUAAGCACCGGCUAACUUCGUGCCAGCAGCCGCGGUAAUUC
rnacentral:rRNA from 1 species